UACAGAGGGUGCGAGCGUUGUUCGGAAUUACUGGGCGUAAAGGGCGCGUAGGCGGCCUGUUAAGUCGAACGUGAAAUCCCCGGGCUCAACCCGGGAACUGCGUCCGAUACUGGCAGGCUUGAAUUCGGGAGAGGGAUGCGGAAUUCCAGGUGUAGCGGUGAAAUGCGUAGAUAUCUGGAGGAACACCGGUGGCGAAGGCGGCAUCCUGGACCGAGAUUGACGCUGAUUCGCGAAAGCCAGGGGAGCAAACGGG
rnacentral:rRNA from 1 species